ACGGAGGGUGCGAGUGUUAUUCGGAUUUACUGGGCGUAAAGAGCACGUAGGCGGAUUGGCAAGUCAGAUGUGAAAGCCCGGGGCUUAACUCCGGAACUGCAUUUGAUACUGCUAGUCUUGAGUGCGGUAGAGGGGGGUGGAAUUCCCGGUGUAGCGGUGAAAUGCGUAGAGAUCGGGAGGAACACCAGAGGCGAAGGCGACCCCCUGGGCCAUCACUGACGCUGAGGUGCGAAAGCGUGGGUAGCAAACAG
rnacentral:rRNA from 1 species